rnacentral:lncRNA from 1 species
GCAGCGUUUGGUCAACCUGCGCAGCGGUGUGUUGGCAGCACCGUGAUGGCUUGUGUUGACAACGGUGUGCUCGGGCAUAUGCCAGCAUCGCCAUGGUGGUGUCGUUGGCUGCGGCCAUGCGGAGGCUCACCAGCAACACCAUGGUGGUGGGACUGGUGACUCCAGCCGUCUCUUUUCACCGUGGUAACGAUGCGGGUGAAAAUUUAUCCCUCUUGGGACGACGUCGAUGGCACCUUUGGCAU